UCCAGCCUUUCAUAAAUCUUUGCCGAGAGACAACAGGGGGCUGUUGAGAGAAGUCUUGGUUGGUUGUUCGGAGCCCGGGUUGGAGCUGAGCCCUGAUGCUUGGCAGCCGUGUGACCUUGGGUUUUCUCUGUGUCCAUGUGAGGAGAGCAACGGCUCACCCCGACAUGGAAUGCCCGACGUCUCAGAACUCCUUCAUGCUGCUGGGUCACUGCCACUUCUGUCUUCCUCCAAAAUACCACCUCGUACCUAGAGCACGUCACCACUAAGCACGGAUUCUGGUGUGGGUGUGUAAAGAGGUGAUGCCUGGAACGAUGACAGCCUUUUGCGGACCAUUAGAGGAGCUCUCCAAAGGAUAAGCCAGCAUACUAAGAAUGCACUAUUCACAAUAGUCAAGAUGUGGGAACUACCGAAAAGUUCACCAACAGAUGAAUGAAUGGAGAAAAUGUGACGGAUACAUACAAUGGGAUAUUACUCAGCCUUAAAGGACAUUCUGCAAGAUGUGACAACCCUGGGUGAAACUUGAGGACAUCAUACUAAGUGAAAGAAGCCAGAAAAAACAGAAAGGUCAACCAGCAGAUCUAUUCUUUCUCCUUCUGGGUACUUAAUUUCUCCGAGGGAAUGUACUAGCAUCAGCUUUGGACUUUCUUCCUGCGUUGGAGAAGAGUAACAUUUGAUGCCUUUGGCCCAAGAAACUUCACUGAACAUUGAGACGUAGGAGGAGAGCAUUGAAAUUCAUAUUUAAUAACCAGCUUGCCUUUUUUAUACUUAAAGGCUUUUUUUUUUCAAAAGAAAAAAUCUAAUUAUGCAUAAGAGAAAUUCACUUAGAAUUAAUUCACUAGGAAUUAACUUGAAAAAAAGGUAAGGAUGUUAACAAUCUUUUUAAAAAAAUAAUUCAAAUUAGAAACACUAAUUAUAGGAACUCCUUUAUAUAACAUGAAACACAGUUCUCUGAGACAUGGGGGAGAAGGCUGGCUUGUAAAGCCGACUUUCAGAGAACAGCGUCUGAUUUAUGGGGGAAUUUGUGUGAGUGAGGCAUAAAAUUUCCCUUAAGAAAGGACUGCCCAGUUCUUCUGAUAAACUGUGUGAUCAUUUCUGGGGAGACCAAAGGACAUAACAUGACCAACAUUUAAUUUUGGGAUCGGGACCUAAGGGUUUAACAUCUUGGACUUACAAAGUCAGGAAAGGAAAGGAGCCAGAAUGCUUGACUGGCCCCUCUGAUCUGGGCCUCCUCAGAUCAGAAACAUACAGUGAGUGAGUGAUAAAGCUGGGAUUUCUAUCUGGGUGUGUCCUAUAUAGUGUUUUGCUCUCUUCGCUUCACCAGGAAGCCCUGAGGACAGGCAGGGAUCUCAACAGGAUCUCAAUAGGAAAGCACAAAGGUGCUUUCUGAUACCUUAUCAAGGUUAUCUUGGCCAAUCACCAGAUAGGAGGGUAAAGACAAGGUACUACACGUGGUUUGUCAAACCAGGGUGGUGUCCCAUUCUCAGACCGUGAAAUCAAAUUUUAGAGUAUCUCAAUAUGAAUUUUUAAAACACAGAGCAAUGUGGAUGGAACUGGAGGGUAUUAUGCUAAGUGAAACAAGUCAGUCUGAGAAAGACAGA